rnacentral:rRNA from 1 species
UGGGGAAUAUUGGGCAAUGGAGGGAACUCUGACCCAGCGACGCCGCGUGCGGGAUGAAGGCCUUCGGGUUGUAAACCGCUUUCAGCAGGGAAGAAGCGAAAGUGACGGUACCUGCAGAAGAAGCACCGGCUAACUAUGUGCCAGCAGCCGCGGUAAUACGGAGGGUGCAAGCGUUGUUCGGAAUUACUGGGCGUAAAGAGCGCGUAGGCGGUUCUAUAAGUCAGACGUGAAAGCCCUGGGCUUAACCCAGGAUGUGCGUUUGAUACUGUAGAGCUAGAGGACCAGAGAGGUGAGUGGAAUUCCUAGUGUAGAGGUGAAAUGCGUAGAGAUGAGGAGGAACACCAGUGGCGAAGGCGGCCACCUGGACAGUAACUGACGCUGAGGCGCGAAAGUGUGGGUAGCAAACAGG